AUCGAUGAAGAACGCAGCGAAAUGCGAUAAGUAAUGUGAAUUGCAGAAUUCAGUGAAUCAUCGAAUCUUUGAACGCACAUUGCGCCCGCUGGUACUCUUGCGGGCAUGCCUGUUCGAGCGUCAUUUCAACCCUCAAGCCCGGCUUGGUGUUGGGGCCCUACGGCUGCCGUAGGCCCUGAAAGGAAGUGGCGGGCUCGCUACAACUCCGAGCGUAGUAAUUCGUUUUCUCGCUAUGGACGUUGCGGCGGUGCUCCUGCCGUUAAAGACCCAUAUUUAACCAAAGGUUGACCUCGGAUCAGGUAGGAAUACCCGCUGAACUUAAGCAUAUCAAUAAGCGGAGGAAAAGAAACCAACAGGGAUUGCCCUAGUAACGGCGAGUGAAGCGGCAACAGCUCAAAUUUGAAAUCUGGCUCCGGCCCGAGUUGUAAUUUGUAGAGGAUGCUUUUGGCAAGGUGCCUUCCGAGUUCCCUGGAACGGGACGCCAGAGAGGGUGAGAGCCCCGUAUAGUCGGACACCUAGCCUUUGUAAAGCUCCUUCGACGAGUCGAGUAGUUUGGGAAUGCUGCUCAAAAUGGGAGGUAUAUCUCUUCUAAAGCUAAAUAUAGGCCAGAGACCGAUAGCGCACAAGUAGAGUGAUCGAAAGAUGAAAAGCACUUUGAAAAGAGGGUUAAAUAGCACGUGAAAUUGUUGAAAGGGAAGCGCUUAUGACCAGACUUGUGCCGGGCUGAUCAUCCAGUGUUCUCACUGGUGCACUCGACCCGGCUCAGGCCAGCGUCGGUUACCGUAGGGGGAUAAAAGCUCCGGGAACGUGGCUCCUUCGGGAGUGUUAUAGCCCGCCGCUUAAUACCCUUGUGGUGACCGAGGUUCGCGCUCUGCAAGGACGCUGGCAUAAUGGUCAUCAGCGACCCGUCUUGAAACACGG
rnacentral:rRNA from 1 species